AACUUUUGAAUCUAAAUUUUCAGAAUUCAUUUUCAUGCCUUUGGCGUGUAUUGUUUUGAGUGAGAGUGAGGAUUUGCUUUCAUCAAUUGCACCAAUAAUCUUGGCUAACUUAUCAACUAUUCGUUAUGGCGUUUGUUGGAUUCUCAUCUAAAUCCUUCGAUCAUUGGUGUUUCAGCUUCUCUAAGUGUGGGGUACCAUAGGAGGUGGGUUUAUCAAAUUUUUUGAUUCCAUAUCUAUUUGUGCGUGUGGGUUUGAGGCUUGUACCAUAGGG
rnacentral:lncRNA from 1 species